rnacentral:rRNA from 1 species
AUGUUGUUGGCCAAUUAUCAAACUAGACAUCAUGGCAGUAUUCCACCAGCAGGGGGAGAUCUCGCGUCGCUUAACACUGCCCUAGUUGUCCUACUACCCAAAAAAGAUGGGGCCAUGAAGAUCACUGAUUUCCGCCCGAUUAGUCUCAUUCACUCCGUAACAAAAUUGAUCUCUAAAGUGCUCUUCAUUCGGCUUGCGAAGGUGAUCCACACAAUCAUAUCUCCAGCCCAGACGGCUUUCCUCUGGACCAAGUGCAUCCACGACAGCUACCUCUUCGUGCAAAACAGUGUCCGAGCGCUUCAUCGACGAAAAACCCCCGCCCUCCUCAUGAAACUGGACAUAGCGAAAGCGUUCGACAUGGUGUCGUGGGAAUACCUCCCGGAGCUGCUCCAAAGAUUAGGGUUUAGCGCGCGCUGCCGUGAUUGGGUUGGCUGCUUAUAG